GUCGGUUUAAGCAUAGCAAUUACAAACAUAAGCUCUGAAGAGCUUUUAAAACCGAUAUGUUAGCUCAUGCAUGUUUUGGACUUCGGUGUUGACAUGAAUAUCAAUAAUGUGGUCAAUUUUUAUAAAUUUUCUGUUUACAAAACUUCAAAGAGUUUUUCAAAAAACUAAGGAUUUUCUUAUCCCAGGCAUAGAUUACCGUAGCCGUUGGUAAAACGUUUUGGAAUUUUGGAUCCUCAAUGCUCUUCUACUUUGUAAUUGUUUGGGUUUAAAAUAUUUUUAAAUGAGCGUCACUGAUGACUCUUAUGCAGAUGAAACGCGCGUCUGGUGUACUAAAUUAUAAUCCUGGUACCUUUGAUAACCAUUGGACGAUUGACAUUCAAGGAUGAAAGCAUUCGGAAUUAAACUUUUAAAAAAUCUCAGCAGUCUUUUCAUUUAUCAAGCGUCCCAAACAUGCAUGAACUAUUUGCCACUGUACGUUAAGCAAUUAAUAAUAAAUUAUCAAACUAAGUGUUGCACUGUUGAGGGCUUAGUGUUG
rnacentral:lncRNA from 1 species